rnacentral:tRNA from 1 species
GCCCGGCUAGCUCAUUCGGUAGAGCAUCAGACUUUUAAUCUGAGGGUCAUGGGUUCGAGUCCCAUGUUGGGCG